GGGCGAAUGGUUUAGUGGUAUAAUACUCCCUUAGCAUAGUUCAAUUAUUUGGGAGUGGUCCAGGGUUCGAUUCCCUGUUCGUCCA